rnacentral:misc_RNA from 1 species
GGAAGUAAAGGUCGUAACAAGGUUUCCGUAGGUGAACCUGCGGAAGGAUCAUUAAUGAGAACUAAGGGUAGUAGUCUCGGCUACUACUCUGAACACUCCACCCUUUGUUUAUAUUACCUUUGUUGCUUUAGCAGGCCCGCUCUCGAGCCGCCGGCACCUGCUGGCUAGUGCCUGCUAAAGAACCUAAAACUCUUGUUAAUAAUAUUGUCUGAGUACUAUAUAAUAGUUAAAACUUUCAACAACGGAUCUCUUGGUUCUG